CGUCCUAUUUCCCCAUCAAAACUAUCUUAUCGUACUAGAUGGAGCCGGAACUUUGACAUCGUCGUAAGUAUCCACAAAACAAGAUCUCUCAACCUAUAUAUCUCCAAAUCUAAAGUUCUCAUUUACUUCUCCAUAUUUUUUGGUUUAAUCGAUUUACAAAUUAAACCGCUAGAAAACCAGUCAAACCAGAUAUAAAACAUAGUUUAAAACCCGAUUGACCUUAUAAACCCGACCCGGUCUAAGAAUUUUUAUAACCCGAUCAGAAAUUCUCAAACCUAAGAACCCUAAAAUCAUCAUUUUCUAAAAUCAUCAUUUUCUAAAAUCAUGAACACCGUCUCUUGCAUUGGGGCAAUAUGUUUCAGGUGGGUGCAUAAACCCAGCCAAUUUCCUACCAAACUCUCGCUUAUCCACCACUGGCGCCAAGAGAAGCCCUCGUGACUUCCACAUUCCAAUUUUAUCUUCAUUUCUGAUCGGAUUUGAUGUGUUCUUGGUUCAGUGAACCAUGAUUCCAAUCACCAGAACUUGAAUAAACCCAACUAAGAGUUUUGGAGCUGCAAUCGUCUAUAAAAAAGGACCACGUGAAUCUCCAUUAUAUACAACAAUUAUGAUUGAUCUUUUAUGUCAAUUUGGUUGAAUUGUUUAUUUGAUUUUUCUUGGAUGCAGUGGAUUUUCUGGGUUGGACGGACCAUUCAUCCGAGCAGCCUUCAUUAGCAUUCAAAAGCAGAAGCUGAUUUUUUUUUUUUGGGUUUUUAGAAGUUCACAGUUGCUUUAUCUUUGUUUGUAUUGAGCUUUGACAUUUUUGAGAUCUGGUCAUAUUUGUUUAAAUGGAUUUUUCUAUUUCUUCUUCUCUCUGGGUUAUUUGAUGUGGAUGAUCUGGUUAAACGUUAAUGAAAAUAUGAUAUAGUGUUCGUUGAGAUGGGGAAAAGAGAUUUAAAAAAUAAAAAAGAAUUGGUGAUUUAAUUAUAUAAACGGGUCGAAAUCAGGUUGAAAUCGGUUUACAACUUUUGUUAGUUGGUUAGACAACCAAUAAACCAAUAAUUAACCAAUUAAACCUGUAUUUAUGGAGAAAUUGAUGAGAAUUAUGGAUUCAAGGAGAUUUAGAAAUAAAAUUUUGGAUUUGGAGAGAUAUAGGAUGAGAGACAUUUGUGCAGAGAUAUUUAAGACGAGGUGAAAGUUCUGGCUUUAUCUAGUAAGAUGUGAUAAUUUUCAUGUGGAACUAGGACGUUUUCCC